rfam:Echinostoma caproni strain Egypt genome assembly, scaffold: ECPE_scaffold0011226
GCACUGCUGAUGAGACCCAAACAAGGUCGAAACAGCUGUCCAGUGC